UACGAAGGGGGCUAGCGUUGCUCGGAAUUACUGGGCGUAAAGGGCGCGUAGGCGGACAGUUAAGUCAGAGGUGAAAGCCCAGGGCUCAACCCUGGAAUAGCCUUUGAUACUGGCUGUCUUGAGUGCGGGAGAGGUGUGUGGAACUCCGAGUGUAGAGGUGAAAUUCGUAGAUAUUCGGAAGAACACCAGUGGCGAAGGCGACACACUGGCCCGUAACUGACGCUGAGGCGCGAAAGCUAGGGGAGCAAACGGG
rnacentral:rRNA from 1 species